GACGAGUGCAGCUCCGGAGAGCAUAAGUGCCACCACUCCACCACCUGCACCAAUACCUGUGGGUGGUACUGGUGCUACUGCCUCCCAGGCUGGGAGCCGAUUCCUGGGAGCAUCAAUGGCAUGUACAACAACAUCUGCAAAGUCAAGCCCUUCUUCACCUGGCCUCUGCCCCCUGGAGUCCACAGCCAGAGUCUCUCCCGCUUCAUUGACAAAGUCAACAAUCUGCAAAAGCAUUUAAAGUCAGCCAUGGCCAAGGACACCAUUCAGG